UCCACCCUCGGGUUGUGCGCUCUCCGUUGGAUCCACUUGUGGAGCGGGUGCGUCUUCUGCGGGAAGAAACCAGAGUCAGACAGUUCAAGUGCCAUCUAUCAGAGGUGACCGCUGUCAAUCAAACCCUCGUGCGGACCAAGCAAUAGAAUGGAGGCGGUGCAAAGCUGAUGGGGAAGUUCAGGAAGCAAUCAUUUAUAAUUGUCUGUUUAUUAAGACCAUUAAAAAGUGCUUAACAGCGAACAGUUGGUAAUCAGCCCAGAAUCAUUACCGCUUAAGACGCCUGCUUUGUGCCCCGUCUCUACCUGAGAGUCAUUAUUCAUCGCACGCGGUCGAUUUGCAGACGACUAAUAAUAGCCCCCUGAUAAUGCCUAUAAUCAGUUAUUACUCUGUGAACUCUUUGUGACACCAAAGAACAUAAACAUCAGACCCCUCAGACGCAUAGAGGCUCUGCACAAACUCAGGAAAAUGUAAUUAUGGUGACAUAAUUUGAUUUUCUUUUUCAAUGAUGCAGGAUGACAAUUGCCAAAACUGUCCAAGAGUUAUCUGUCAAUCUGCAUAACUUUAUGUUUACUCCCCAUGGUCCGUUUGUUAAAUAAACAAAACAAAAAAACAGGAACCUGACCAGAAACAGGUGUGGAAGCACCCCAAACCCUAAAUAUCAAUACAUGAUAUUGUUGAUGACCAAUACAGUGUAAAAUAUGCGCAAAUUACAAAUUAGACACAGUGAGUCUGGUAAAUAUCCCUCAACCAGUUACGAAAACCAUCACAGCAACAUCCCAAUAAACUGCAAAAAGUGA